rnacentral:rRNA from 1 species
UGGGGAAUUUUGGACAAUGGGCGAAAGCCUGAUCCAGCAAUGCCGCGUGUGUGAAGAAGGCCUUCGGGUUGUAAAGCACUUUUGUCCGGAAAGAAAUCCUUGGCUCUAAUACAGUCGGGGGAUGACGGUACCGGAAGAAUAAGCACCGGCUAACUACGUGCCAGCAGCCGCGGUAAUACGUAGGGUGCAAGCGUUAAUCGGAAUUACUGGGCGUAAAGCGUGCGCAGGCGGUUUUGCUAAGACCGAUGUGAAAUCCCCGGGCUCAACCUGGGAACUGCAUUGGUGACUGGCAGGCUAGAGUAUGGCAGAGGGGGGUAGAAUUCCACGUGUAGCAGUGAAAUGCGUAGAGAUGUGGAGAAUACCGAUGGCGAAGGCAGCCCCCUGGGCCAAUACUGACGUUCAUGCACGAAAGCGU